UUGACAGGUACAGUUUCAUUUUGCUAAUUUGCAUAGGAUUCAUACGCACAACCAUCUACUUUUUCGUGAGAUUCAUACGCACAAACAGCAACGUUACUCCGCUAGGGUUCAUCAUUCUCUCAGUUCGUGGUUUCAUCGUUUAACGAAGAACCGUCGCCGUCCAUUAUUCAACCACAAAUCACCACCGAUAUUGAUUUUGUGAAGGUGUUGUCGGUAAAUAUUGUUCCUACUCAGCUCGCCGACAACUUCCGGAAUAAGAAGCCUGAGGUUUUACUCUUGGCCGUUAUAAACUUCAUGUUAUCUAUAGCUACUAAUAACUAGCUGUUCAAAUAAAAAGUGAUUUUUAAAAAGUGAUUUUUAAAGCUAUAACUACUGCUAUGAAGAAUCAUUAGUU